rnacentral:lncRNA from 1 species
AGUAGGAAAUACUUCUUUCAAAUCAAGUCAUAACACUUUUCAAAUCAAAGUCAUCUUGUCUGACCAAUGUCAAAUAAUUCCAUUCACCACACUUCCUCUGCACACACUGAUUUAAACCUCAACAUACCCAUGUCAAGUCAAGAUUUUUUUUUUCCUAGAAUUACUUGCUUAUUGGUUCAUUCAUUAUUAUGUCUUAAUCCGUGGGAACACUUUCGAAAUUUAAAAGUUCAUAUUCUUCUUUUGACAACUAAUCAAAAAUGUUAUGUAACUAUUUAAUCUUUUCUAGCAGUAUAAUGAGUUGUCUAACAAAGAGCAGUGGGUAUGGUUAGACAAUAAAUAAAAAUAAAUAUUGGGACUAGAUUAAUACCUGUCGUCAACACAUCAGAAGCCUGUGCAUCUUGCUGUGUAAGUGCAAAUACUCUUCCUUGAGUCUUUGGCCCCUGGCUUCCUUCCAUUGCCUGAGUAGAUCUAUUCUCGUUUCUUUGUGGGCAGUCUGCAAUUUUAUGACCUAUCUUACCACAUCUAAAACAGGCACCGGUGUUCCAAUGGCAAUCCUUGUCAGCAUGAGCUUUACCACAUCUGGAACAUUUAUUGAUAUUCAUUUGCUUAAGGUUGUCACUCGUGGAUUUCUUGUUUGAACUUUCGGCGUUUUCAUUGCUUUGCCCCUGAAAUUCAUUCGAUCUGUUCCUCUUCUUUUGAUUUCUUUCCCUUUCCAACCGUUCAUCAUUAACUCCCCUUUCAA